rnacentral:rRNA from 1 species
UACGAAGGGGGCUAGCGUUGUUCGGAAUUACUGGGCGUAAAGGGCGCGUAGGCGGUGUGUCAAGUCAGGCGUGAAAGCCCCGGGCUCAACCUGGGAACCGCGCUUGAGACUGGCACGCUCGAGUUCGGGAGAGGAUGGUGGAAUUCCCAGUGUAGAGGUGAAAUUCGUAGAUAUUGGGAAGAACACCGAUGGCGAAGGCAGCCAUCUGGACCGACACUGACGCUGAGGCGCGGAAAAGCGUGGGGGAGCAAA